GACGAACGCUGGCGGCGUGCUUAACACAUGCAAGUCGAACGGAAAGGCCUGCUUUCCCUUGUGGAUUGCGGGUACUCGAGUGGCGAACGGGUGAGUAACACGUGAGUGAUCUGCCCCCAACUUGGGUAUAAGCCUGGGAAACUGGGUCUAAUUCCCGAUAGGACUGCAGGGUGGUGCCUGUGGUGGAAAACGAUUUUCUAGUGGUUGGGGAUGAGCUCGCGGCCUAUCAGCUUGUUGGUUGGGUAAUGGUCUACGAAGGCGGCGACGGGUAGCCGGCCUGAGAGGGUGGACGGCCACAUUUGGACGGAGAUACGGCCCAGACUCCUACGGGAGGCAGCAGUGGGGAGUAAUGCACAAUGGGCGGAAGCCUGAUGCAGCGACGCCGCGUGGGGGAUGACGGCCUUCGGGUUGUAAACUCCUUUCGACCGCGAGGAAGCCACCUGGUUGGAAGGGUGGUGACGGUAGUGGUAGAAGAAGCACCGGCUAACUACGUG
rnacentral:rRNA from 1 species